AGCGAACGCUGGCGGCAGGCCUAACACAUGCAAGUCGAACGGAUCCUUCGGGAUUAGUGGCGGACGGGUGAGUAACACGUGGGAACGUGCCCUUUGGUUCGGAACAACUCAGGGAAACUUGAGCUAAUACCGGAUGUGCCCUUCGGGGGAAAGAUUUAUCGCCAUUGGAGCGGCCCGCGUCUGAUUAGCUAGUUGGUGGGGUGAAGGCCCACCAAGGCGACGAUCAGUAGCUGGUCUGAGAGGAUGAUCAGCCACAUUGGGACUGAGACACGUCCCAAACUCCUACGGGAGGCAGCAGUGGGGAAUCUUGCGCAAUGGGCGAAAGCCUGACGCAGCCAUGCCGCGUGAAUGAUGAAGGUCUUAGGAUUGUAAAAUUCUUUCACCGGGGACGAUAAUGACGGUACCCGGAGAAGAAGCCCCGGCUAACUUCGUGCCAGCAGCCGCGGUAAUAC
rnacentral:rRNA from 1 species